rnacentral:rRNA from 1 species
GACGAACCGUGCGAACGUUGUUCGGAAUCAUUGGGCUUAAAGGGCGCGUAGGCGGGCUAGCAAGUCAGGGGUGAAAGCCCACGGCUCAACCGUGGAAGUGCCUUUGAUACUGCCAGCCUGGAGGGAGGUAGGGGCGUGCGGAACUUCCGGUGGAGCGGUGAAGUGCGUAGAUAUCGGAAGGAACACCGGUGGCGAAAGCGGCGCGCUGGACCUCUUCUGACGCUGAGGCGCGAAAGCCAGGGGAGCGAACGGG